UUUGCUGGACUGUCUAUAAUGUCUUUCAACAAUAGCUAUUACUUCUCCAGAAGACAUUCACAUUCUGUCACUGGGAAUGUAAUAGCUAUUUCCAAAAUU